rnacentral:lncRNA from 1 species
CUUGAGUUCUCUAUUGAGAUACGUAGGAGCAGGAUUGCGAAAUCUUGUCAGACCCAUUAAUAGAAAACUUAGGUUUAGUCCCCUUUAUUGCAAAAAUCCAAAAACAUUUUCUCUUUUCUUUUGAUCCUAUUAUUCUUUCCCUCAUAAUAACUUGAGAAGACUAACAUAAGCUAACAUUCAAAGCGAAACUAACUAAACGGUUCCCGUUGAAUACAACGGACGUAAGGGGUGCUAAUAUGUUUCUCUUGCGUAACCGACUCCCGAACCCU